CUUCAUUAAAGAGAGAGGUACAUGUUAGGUUUGGCAGAUGGAUGGAUGCCCAUUAAAUCUAAUCACCUCUCUUGAUUAACCGCUGUAGUUUAGUCAUCUCUCUGGUUCCCAUGCAACACAAAAGGACGAGAGAAGAAGGCUUCAUCUUCCUUGUUUACAGCCCCCCAUGGAUGAUGAGAGUAGGAAGGAAGGAGGAAGCAGCAGCAGCAGCACCGAGGCCAUGGCUAUGGUGUUCGAGCUCCACAACGGAGAAGCUGAUCUUGUGUUCUGCGCGGUCAUAAUGUGGCUCUCCGUCAUUUCUAUCGCCAUCUUUUCUUCUGUGGGCGGUCCGAGCCAGCCGAGGCAGCGGUCCAGGGACAGCAGGCUGGUGCUUCCCGGUGAGGCAGGUUGCAGGUGCGGCUGUUGCAUCGGAGGCGCCGGUGUUUGUGGCACUUAUCUCUCCUGAUCUGAUCUGGUGUAGGGUGGAGGACGAUGACUCCUCCGGAGAACCGCACAUCGAUCACUUGCAUUUCUUGCUUGUGCUCUUUCUCGUACAUUUCUUUGUCUUCGGUUUGCCUUAUCUCCUAUUUAGUUCUCCAGUCUCCUUUCUUCUUCCUACGCAACGAAGCCUGUGAAGCUUCAAAUGGGAAGAGAAGAACUUGUCACAGGUGAAGGUCUCGUUAAAAGACCGGCUAAAAGUAUCCUCCAGCCAGCUUCUACUUAGUGAUGACGUUGAUAUUGAUAGCUCUGA